rnacentral:rRNA from 1 species
AGGGCACCACCAGGAGUGGAGCCUGCGGCUUAAUUUGACUCAACACGGGAAAACUCACCCGGCCCGGACACCGUAAGGAUUGACAGAUUGAGAGCUCUUUCUUAAUUCGGCGGGUGGUGGUGCAUGGCCGUUCUUAGUUGGUGGAGCGAUUUGUCUGGCUAAUUCCGAUAACGAACGAGACUCUGGCCUAUUAAAUAGACGAGAUAUUAAAAAGUAUAUCGCACUUCUUAGAGGGACAAGCGGCGUCUAGUCGCGUGAAAAAGAGCAAUAACAGGUCUGUGAUGCCCUUAGAUGUCCGGGGCUGCACGCGCGCUACACUGAAAGAAUCAGUGUGCGUUUUACCUAGUUCGGAAGAACCGGGUAACCCAAGUAAAUUCUUUCGUGCUUGGGAUAGGGAAUUGCAAUUAUUUCCCUUAAACGAGGAAUUCCCAGUAAAUGCGGGUCAUAAGCUCGCGUUGAUUACGUCCCUGCCCUUUGUACACACCGCCCGUCGCUACUACCGAUUGGAUGGUUUAGUGA